GUGACAUCACACACAUGCCUGGCAGAAGGGGUCAGAACAAAAACCACAUUGCAGCUGGGGCUUGUUUCAGCUGAAGUGGCAGAGAAGUGUCAUCGCAGUUCUCCCAGAUGUGGCUGUGCAAGGACUGCUUGUCAUCCCUACAGCUGCUGUCUAACUGCACACAGGGAACUGACAAAAAGGACAACUCAAGACUUGUCUCUCAUCAGCUGCUUUCUACCCAGCACAAUAUACCAACAACCAUAUUUGAGAGAAAGACUGAAUUGUGGUCAGAAGCUACUGGGACUCUGGAAAUCUGCGUUUCUAUUCUGCUCUACUAAAGAACUGCACUUCAACAGGAACUUCAUGUUUAUUGUUCUAUGUUCUUGGCGUCUCAAGUGAUGCAACUUGUGACAGCACCUGACCUGCUUUUAUUGCAAUCAUGAGACAAAAAAUGCUCUUUGAGACAUCAUCUGCACUUCAUUCAGGUGCCUUUUAAUCAGAAGUAAUCUGCAUUUUAUG
rnacentral:lncRNA from 1 species